UUUUGCUUAUAGAGCAGUGUUUCAGAUUGUGUCAGUAUUUUAGGUGCUAUGAUUGUAUGUGCUUUUCAUUUGACUCUUUUCAACGAAACCUGUAGGUUUGAAUAGAAUGUCUUGCCUCUAAAAGUCAAGUGUAUGCUUAUGUUAUUGGUGAAAUCUUUGUAUCAGUUAGGGCGAAUUUUGGAGAAGGGAUUUCAUUCUUACCUGAUCAGCAAGAAGAUUGUUUUAUGUGACCUAAGACUGGAGAACUUUCACUUGGUUUUACAUAUAACUUUAAUAGUACUAACAGAGAAUAGGGGGAUUAACAUAAUGCCCUUUAGAUGUUCUCUAAAGCAAUCUUAAUAGUAGUUAACAUGUGUAUAAUGCUUUCAGUUUGCCAGGUACAACAACCUGCGAUAUCCUAUUAGUGUUCUCCACUUACAGAUGAGGAAACAGAGGCUUAGAGAGAUGAAAUUAAUUUAUCUAAAUCUGCACAGCUAUAGCUAGUAAGUGGUGGAAAUAGGAUUUGAACCCAGGUAGUCCAACCCUGGAGUACAUCCUCUAUUACAUUACACUGAGAACCAUUACACUAUUACAUUAACCGUUAUAGUGAAAAGCCUACCUGAAAUAGAAUUUAAGGCAUCAUUUGUUGAAUUUUAGACUAAUUUUAAUUAUAAAGUUAAGUAAAUUUAUUCUUUCUUUAUGAUGGGAUAGUAUUCAUUCUAUUCUGAGUAAGAGAGUACAAAUAGUGACCUGCUUAACAGUUUGUUUAAAAUUAUAAGAUACAAUUGAGAGUUGAGAAUUAAAGAUGGAGAAAGGAUGGAAGGUAGUACUUGAAGUUUUUCUUCUUCAGGGGAAAAAAAAAAAAAACACAGUAAGCAGGGAGUAUGGCCCUCCAUUCCUCCCUGAGGAGUGGCAUAUCAGAACUCCACACUUUUCUGUUUUAACCACUAGACUUCAUUUCUUCCCAGUGGAAAAGGCAAGGCAGACAUAAGCCGGCAGUGGAAAUUUAUCCUACUAGAAGUUGCUGUCUGCUUAUCAUAUGAAAAGGAGAAAACAUUGCCUUUAGUCAAACCAAGUGUGGUAUCAGAAAAUGGUAGAAGUAAACGAUGAUUACUCAAAGCAGAGAUAACUAACUGAUAGAGAAAGAAGCAUAGCUUUUACUUUUAAAUAGUUCCUUCCCCUGUGCAUUCCAACCUCAUUUUUCUUUCACUUCAGAUAAUGUUCUGCUUUGACAAAUUAGUGAAAUAAGCUUAGGAAAUGUUGCUGUUAUGUGGUGGUUUGAAACUCUGCUCCUCUCAUUUGUUGGCACCUCGCCUUGCCAGUCAUAGUAAUGCUUGUCCAUUAGCUGUAUUUCCCACAGCAUGCUGAAUGGAACUAAAGCUGUUUUGUUUGUAGCUUUUAUUUCUUGAAAAGUUGCCCACCAGAUUUCAGAUUUAAUGCCAGCCACCAGGAUGUGUUUUUAAAUAUCCAUGGCUCCAGCCUGAUAAACCACGGAAGAAUCUCGCCUGAUGAAACCUGGCCUCUGUCUGUGCUAACAAGCAACCACACUUCUAAAUCCCAUAUAACUUCAGGAUUUGCUCUAACUUCCACUCUUUCCCUUCAGGGGAAGGGAACAGUUUCACUUAAAAAACAAUUUGAACUGACCCCUAUUCUAGAUCAAUUUGCAAUGCAUUGAGGUAUUAAAUGCAUUGCACUUGAUUUAUAGCCUUGUUUACUCUGCAUCACCAAACCCUAGUGGGAUUCAGAGAGAAGCUGACCACAGCUGAAAAUACCCAGAUCUGGUUCACCUGAGGAGAGCUCCUAUUUGUAUUGAAAAAAUAUGAAAUUUCAAGAGUUUAAAACUUUCUUUAACAUGGACUUCUAAGAGAAUCAGAUUUGAUGUUCAGAACUCCAGAGGUGGUGAUGUGUCCCUUUAGUUUACAAGGCUGAUAAUCUGAAGAAAACUUGCUCUCCCAGCCAACCCAUAAGUACUGAGUGUUUAUGUACUUAACGCUGUACAAGGUGCUUUAACUACACAAAAUAAAUACUUUUCCUGACCCCUAAAUUA